UACGUAGGCAGCGAGCGUUGUUCGGAGUUACUGGGCGUAAAGAGUGCGUAGGCGGUUUUCUAAGUUUGGUGUGAAAUCUCCCGGCUCAACUGGGAGGGUGCGCCGAAGACUGGAAGGCUUGAGUAUGGGAGAGGUAAGCGGAAUUCCUGGUGUAGCGGUGAAAUGCGUAGAUAUCGGGAGGAACACCUGAGGCGAAGGCGGGCUACUGGGCCGAUACUGACGCUGAUGUGCGAAAGCCAGGGGAGCGAACGGG
rnacentral:rRNA from 1 species